rnacentral:lncRNA from 1 species
GUAGAGUUAUUUCAAGAUGGAAGUGGGGUGACAAUUUGAUGGAUUUUGUAAGAGCUUGACGAGAAAGAAAUAAUUUCAUUUGGAUAAUGAUCGGACGAUUAGUGUCAGAGUUGGAUGAAACCUUAGGAGGUUGAGAUGGAACUGGGAGCGAAGUAUCAUUUUUGGAUGUUUGGAAAUAAGAAAGUAUCAGAGAGAGUGUUUUGUAACAUUCGGAAG